GCGCGCGCAUUGUUGCGGCGGAAGUGCUGAAGAAGUUGCAUGAGUUUGAAUAGAGCGAGGGAAGAUUUGUUUCUUAAGUUGCGUUUUUGGAGUUGCAGUAACGUUAUAGAAGAACAACAUCCAGCUGUUGUGUGUACGGGUGUACGAAUCGAAAUCCCGAGGAACAUAAUUUUUUUGCAAUUCCCAGAGGAAACAGGCCAUUUCAAAGCACCGUAGGAACCUGUGGCUGCAAGCAUCAGAAGAACCGACUGGACCGAGGAUCAUCAGCAAGAAUCAUAUCUGGUGAGAUGUCACUGGACCACGAGAGUCCUGAUUUUUAUUUGCCCUCUAUUUUUUCAUACACUAAACAAAACCAAAACCCCGAUGCAAAGAUCAAAAGGUACCAAAGAAAAAAGAAAUGGAGUGAAAGACUUCUGGUUGCUCCACCAAACCAACCUGCUCCUGCUCCUGGAACUCCAGAGGAAUCACCAGCAUGGAUCACAGUCCUACUGAAGAGGACAUCCCAGUCACGAGGACAGAAUACAAUGACCUGAACCUGAGGUACACCGAGCUGAAGAGUGACUACGUCAACCUGCAGGAAAAGUAUCAACAGCUGCGAGAUGAAAAUGAGAGACUUAAAGAGGAGCUGAAGAAGUCUACAUUUUCAUACUCAAAUAUUAAGUGCAACAUGGUACAACUGUUGUUUAUCACUAGAAUAACAUCUGUGCUCUUUGACUGGUUGUGCACCAAAAUUGCAGGAAGUGUAAAAAUAUUCAGCAAGAAGCUCUCUCUACAGGAUCAUCUUUUGAUAGUGUUAAUGAAAUUAAGGUUGCAGCUCAUGGUGCCACCCUUCGCAUUCCAGCUUUCACCAAAGGCAAACAGCAACUUUCUGCACAGGAGGUCGACACAUCAAGACAACUGUGACGUGUCAGGAUACAUGUCGAACGUGUUAUAGGGAGAUGGAAGAACUUCAGAAUUUUGCAGACAUGAAUUCCACUGUCACAGGCUGACCUUCUAGAUGCUUUGUUAUUGUGUGCUAGUCUCACAAACCUUAGCAAAAGUGUUGUUCCGAAAAAAUCUAAGAAAUAAGGGUUCUGAAUAAUAACAUCAAGUCUUGGCAUUUUUUUAUUUUCUCAUCAGUGAUUUGGAGCUGUGACUAUGAAUUGAAUAUCAGCCAUUAAUGAUUUACUUGACUAUUAAAGUUUUGCUAAUAAACUACCGGAGUUAUUUGUUUUUUCUCACUGAUUGUGUAAAUGUAUUGAUUAUUUUCUCUUUUUAAAGCUACAAACAUCCAACUUCCACAGCUGUAAAUAUGCUGCACAAAUAUACAUAUAUUCACUAUAUGUGUUGUAUAUCAAACUCAGGUAUAUUAUAGAUAUAUUAAUCCCCACAAACC